rfam:Triticum aestivum genome assembly, contig: Triticum_aestivum_CS42_TGACv1_scaffold_405812_5BL
UUAGUACUCCCUCCGUCCCAAAAUUCUUGUCUUAGAUUUGGCUAAAUACAGAUGUAUCAAGUCAUAUUUUAAUAUUAGAUACAUCCAUACGUAGACAUAUUUAAGACAAGAAUUUUGGGACGGAGAGAGUACUAA